UACAUGCAAGUCGAGCGAACAGAUGAGAAGCUUGCUUCUCUGAUGUUAGCGGCGGACGGGUGAGUAACACGUGGGUAACCUACCUAUAAGACUGGGAUAACUCCGGGAAACCGGGGCUAAUACCGGAUAAUAUUUUGAACCGCAUGGUUCAAUAGUGAAAGACGGUUUCGGCUGUCACUUAUAGAUGGACCCGCGCCGUAUUAGCUAGUUGGUAAGGUAACGGCUUACCAAGGCGACGAUACGUAGCCGACCUGAGAGGGUGAUCGGCCACACUGGAACUGAGACACGGUCCAGACUCCUACGGGAGGCAGCAGUAGGGAAUCUUCCGCAAUGGGCGAAAGCCUGACGGAGCAACGCCGCGUGAGUGAUGAAGGUCUUCGGAUCGUAAAACUCUGUUGUUAGGGAAGAACAAAUUUGUUAGUAACUGAACAAGUCUUGACGGUACCUAACCAGAAAGCCACGGCUAACUACGUGCCAGCAGCCGCGGUAAUACGUAGGUGGCAAGCGUUAUCCGGAAUUAUUGGGCGUAAAGCGCGCGUAGGCGGUUUCUUAAGUCUGAUGUGAAAGCCCACGGCUCAACCGUGGAGGGUCAUUGGAAACUGGGAAACUUGAGUGCAGAAGAGGAGAGUGGAAUUCCAUGUGUAGCGGUGAAAUGCGCAGAGAUAUGGAGGAACACCAGUG
rnacentral:rRNA from 2 species